AUUGCACAAUGGGCGAAAGCCUGAUGCAGCUAUACCGCGUGUAUGAAGAAGGCCUUAGGGUUGUAAAGUACUUUCGUUGGGGAGGAAAAAUAAAUAGAUAAUACCUGUUUAUCGUGACGUUACCCAAAAAAGAAGCACCGGCUAACUCCGUGCCAGCAGCCGCGGUAAUACGGAGGGUGCGAGCGUUAAUCAGAAUUACUGGGCGUAAAGAGCUCGUAGGCGGUUGUUUAAGUCAGAUGUGAAAUCCCUGGGCUUAACCUAGGAACUGCAUUUGAAACUAAAAGACUAGAGUAUCGUAGAGGGAGGUAGAAUUCUAGGUGUAGCGGUGAAAUGCGUAGAUAUCUGGAGGAAUACCUGUGGCGAAAGCGGCCUCCUAAACGAAUACUGACGCUGAGGUGCGAAAGCAUGGGGAGCAAACAGGAUUAGAUACCCUGGUAGUCCAUGCCGUAAACGAUGUCGACUUGGAGGUUGUUUCCUUGAGAAGUGACUUCCGAAGCUAACGCGUUAAGUCGACCGCCUGGGGAGUACGGUCGCAAGGCUAAAACUCAAAUGAAUUGACGGGGGCCCGCACAAGCGGUGGAGCAUGUGGUUUAAUUCGAUGCAACGCGAAAAACCUUACCUGGUCUUGACAUCCACAGAAUUUUUCAGAGAUGAAAAAGUGCCUUAGGGAACUGUGAGACAGGUGCUGCAUGGCUGUCGUCAGCUCGUGUUGUGAAAUGUUGGGUUAAGUCCCGCAACGAGCGCAACCCUUAUCCUCUGUUGCCAUUGGUUCGGCCAGGAACUCAGAGGAGACUGCCGGUUAUAAACCGGAGGAAGGCGGGGACGACGUCAAGUCAUCAUGGCCCUUACGACCAGGGCUACACACGUGCUACAAUGGUGUAUACAAAGAGAAGCAACUCUGCAAAGACAAGCAAACCUCAUAAAGUACAUCGUAGUCCGACGGU
rnacentral:rRNA from 2 species